GCAGUACAAUAUCUCUUUAAGGUGAAAAAGGAAAAAAUGCUCACCUUUUUAAGAGCCUUUUAGUAACUGGCUCUAAGUAUAAAUAGCAUAUGUGUCUAAUAUAAAGGGUGACACUACCCUUAACCGGAUCCAGAAAUUCAAGGUAGAGGUAAGUAUAUUCAAACACAAAAUUUAUUAUAUAAAAUAAAGUUAAAAUAUCGAAUAAUAAUAAAAAAGUAUAAAUAAAUACAAUAUGUGCCGAAGUCCUUCCUCUCCUGUUCUACCAAGACGCGUUUCGCCUUCUCCGUUGGCUUUCUCAAUUGGUAUUCUGUUGAUGUCCUGUUUUCCGGUUUUAAAAGAAGUUGUUUCUCCCGCCCUUCCUCUCUGCGUCCAAUCGUUCAUCCGAUAUCAAAUGAUCCUAGUUGCGGCUUCUAAUUGCCGUAACGUCAUUUCCGGUUCGCCGUCCAGAACUACAUUUCCCAGAAGUCUCUUCUCUGUAGUUCUGGCGACGUUAAAAGUUCAAAACUCACUCCACCUCAGCGGAUGUGAGAUCGCUCAUGAAGAAACAGGGGUGUAUUUAUGGGGAUAGGAAGAGGGAAAAAAACAUCAUUUUACAGACUGGGAUAUAUUAAUCUUAUAUAUACAUUAAUUAUAAUUCUGUAAACUGUAAUCCAAAAUAGGAGACAUUAAUAAUGUUAGUUUAAAUGUACUGUUAUUUAAUAAUAGCUUUAAUAAGUGCAUAUCUAUUUCCUAACAUAGUAUAUUCAGAUGUAUUUUAAU